AGCGAACGCUGGCGGCAGGCCUAACACAUGCAAGUCGAACGAACCUUUCGGGGUUAGUGGCGGACGGGUGCGUAACCCGUGGGAACGUGCCUUUAGGUUCGGAAUAACUCAGGGAAACUUGUGCUAAUACCGAAUGUGCCCUUCGGGGGAAAGAUUUAUCGCCUUUAGAGCGGCCCGCGUCUGAUUAGCUAGUUGGUUGAGGUAAUGGCUCACCAAGGCGACGAUCAGUAGCUGGUCUGAGAGGAUGAUCAGCCACAUUGGGACUGAGACACGGCCCAAACUCCUACGGGAGGCAGCAGUGGGGAAUCUUGCGCAAUGGGCGAAAGCCUGACGCAGCCAUGCCGCGUGAAUGAUGAAGGUCUUAGGAGUGUAAAAUUCUUUCACCGGGGACGAUAAUGACGGUACCCGGAGAAGAAGCCCCGGCUAACUUCGUG
rnacentral:rRNA from 1 species